rnacentral:rRNA from 1 species
GAUGAACGCUGGCGGCGUGCUUAACACAUGCAAGUCGAACGGUGAAGGCGGAGCUUGCUCUGCUGGAUCAGUGGCGAACGGGUGAGUAACACGUGAGCAAUCUGCCCCUGACUCUGGGAUAAGCGCUGGAAACGGCGUCUAAUACUGGAUACGAGCUGCGAAGGCAUCUUCAGCAGCUGGAAAGAAUUUCGGUCAGGGAUGAGCUCGCGGCCUAUCAGCUUGUUGGUGAGGUAAUGGCUCACCAAGGCGUCGACGGGUAGCCGGCCUGAGAGGGUGACCGGCCACACUGGGACUGAGACACGGACCAGACUCCUACGGGAGGCAGCAGUGGGGAAUAUUGCGCAAUGGGCGAAAGCCUGAUGCAGCAACGCCGCGUGAGGGACGACGGCCUUCGGGUUGUAAACCUCUUUUAGCAGGGAAGAAGCGAAAGUGACGGUACCUGCAGAAAAAGCGCCGGCUAACUACGUG